CUGUUGAUACUGCUGAGGGCUACUCAGGACUGCAUCAGUGAGGUAUUUUAACCUUUCCAACAGUCUGUUUCCUGUGUCUCUCAAGAGAUGAAGGAGAAAAGGCCCAUCUCUGUGGGUGUUGAACAAUGGGAGCAGGGAGUAUCCUGACAAGGACUGAGAGGUUAAGGAAGGAGCCAGGCUCAAGCUUCAAGGGGACGUAUGCCUGACCACCCACCAGCCAACAAUGCAACUCUGGAUACAAGUACCUGUGCCAUUCCUCCAGUUGCUGGAAUUUAGCUACUAGAUCUAUGCUCCAUCAGCUUCCAGGAGCUACAACCAUGAUGUCCUGGUCAUGCUGGUCAAGAACAGUUCCCUCAUCCCAGCCCCUGACUUGGGUUUGCAACAUGUCCUGGAACCUGGACCACCAGUACCAGCUGAAGAUGCAACAAAAUUCCUGAACAGGAUGCGAAAGUGUUUCAGCUGAGCCUUGAGAGGUGAACGUACCUUGGCACCUGUCUCCUGGAUGGGACAACUUGAGGAAGGGCCAUGUAUAUUCCUGUUCCCUAUUCAGGACACUGCUAAUGUGCAUAUGAGGAGAGAGUGGAAUGAAGUCAACCUCUGCUUUAUUCUCACAUUCUAUGAGUCUGGACAUC